rnacentral:rRNA from 1 species
CCGAGUUUACAACUCCCAAACCCCAAUGUGAACGUUACCAAACUGUUGCCUCGGCGGGAUUUCUGCCCCGGGCGCGUCGCACCCCCGGACCAAGGCGCCCGCCGGAGGACCAAUUUACAAACUCUUUUGUAUAUCCCAUCGCGGAUUCUUUACAUUCUGAGCUUUCUCGGCGCUCCUAGCGAGCGUUUCGAAAAUGAAUCAAAACUUUCAACAACGGAUCUCUUGGUUCUGGCAUCAAUGAAAAACGCAAUGUAAAUUGCAUAAAUUAAUGUGAAUUGCAGAAUUCAUUGAAUCAUCUAAUCUUUGAACGCACAUUGCGCCCGCCAGUAUUCUGACGGGCAUGCCUGUCUCAAACCCCUCCGGGGGGUCGGCGUUGGGGACCUCGGGAGCCCCUAGACGGGAUCCCGGCCCCGAAAUACAAUGGCGGUCUCGCCGCAGCCUCUCCUGCUCCUGCUUUGCACAACUCGCACCGGGAGCGCGGCGCGUCCACGUCCGUAAAACACCCAACUUUCUGAAAUGUUGACC